AUGUCCUACGGGAGGCAGCAGUAGGGAAUCUUCCACAAUGGACGAAAGUCUGAUGGAGCAACGCCGCGUGAGUGAAGAAGGGUUUCGGCUCGUAAAGGUCUGUUGGGAGUGAAGAAAGAUAGAGGUAGUAACUGGCCUUUAUUUGACGGUAAUUACUUAGAAAGUCACGGCUAACUACGUGCCAGCAGCCGCGGGAAUACGAAGGUGGCAAGCGUUGUCCGGAUUUAUUGGGCGUAAA
rnacentral:rRNA from 1 species